UGCGGAGGAUACUAUAAGACUAGGAGGCAGGAGAGGCAAGCGGUACUCAGUGGGUAGGGGUAAAAUCCGUUGAUCCAUUGAAGACCACCAGUUGCGAAGGCGGCUUGCCAGAAUGCGCUCGACGGUGAGGGAUGAAAGCUGGGGGAG
rnacentral:rRNA from 1 species